AAGAAAAAUAAAAACUUUAAAAAAUAAUUUUGGAGGAAAAGGCCUAUUUUUACAAAUCUUGGGCUGGAUCUACAACCUUUUUUUUUUAAGUAGGCCACGUGGAGCCCAGUGCAGGGCUUGAACUCACAACGCUGAGACGGAGACCGGAGCCGAGAUCAAUAGUCCGACGCUUAACCUCUGAGCCCCCCGGGCACCCUGGUUCUGCAGCCUCUCCGUGUUCUCCAAAAAUAACCUCUGGGAUUUGGGCUUAAGUUUGUCUCCAAAUUUAUUUUCAGUCAGCUGUGCCUGGGUAACCGUUUCGUUCACAUUUCCCCCCAAUAAGGGACACACAACACCGUGUCCCUUCAAGGUGUGCAGUGUGGGGACUGAAACCGGAAUAAACCGCACAAGGAUUACCGCCCCAGUGCCGGCCACCACGUCCGUCUGACCGCUCGCCACCGCGUCUCCUUUUUGUUGACAUACUGUGCUAGUUUUCAACGUACAACGCAGUGAUGCAGCGCCGUGUAUAAAUACGUUACGAAGUGCUCACCAAGGAAAGCGAAACUCAGAAACCGAGGAAUGGCCAACACUCCGGCCGGAUGGGAAAGGCUGGAUUGGUCAGCACGUGAGUGCCAGGCAUUCUCUGACCAUCAUGGAAUCCUGGAGUAGGCAUGGUGGUUACCCGUUUUGCAGCUGAGCACACUGAGGCCGCAGAGUUGAACUUGGCUGCAGGCUGAGCAGUCACGGUCAGAGGUAGGCCUCCGGUCUCCGGUACUCCGCGGUGCCCCGCCCUGCACCGGAGUGGUUAAGGUGCGCCUCUCCCCGCCCCCCUACGUGUGCUUUCUGGCGCGGGCGCACGGGCACUCACCCCAGAGCCCUGCACGGGCGGGGACGGCCGGCGUCCAGGCUGCCCGGGCUGCCAAGUCUGAGUCACUUGCCCGAGGUCCGACGGCGGGCCCUGGCAUUGAACGUCGAAUGUGAAAUGCGCAGGUGAGCUGCGCUUUUAGACGUGGUUCUCUUUGAGGUAAGCCUUCCCGAGGUGCGCCUGACCCUGUGGUCCUCAGGGUGGACGUGUCACCGCUGACGGGUCACAGGGUCCUGGCCAGACCCCCAAGCCCGGGGGCCCUCACGGGACCCAGGGGGACACGGGGCUGGGGUCUCCAGGGAC